rnacentral:misc_RNA from 1 species
GAGAGGAGUGAUGGCAUGAGGGUGAACAUCAUGCAGACUGGACGAUAUCUGCACCACUCCAUCAGCGAGGAACUCGGGCCCCACCUCCACACCUUCCAUAAACCCCACAGGUAUAACCUAGGAAGCAGUCAAAAAUGCGAGGACGAUCACAGUGCCUGUACAGACCUGAUAACGUCCUUCACGCGAGACCACGCCCGCCUUCCCGUUACUCACCUCACCGCCAUGUCCUUCCACACCAAGAACAACCCGCUGUUUGAGGAGGAUCUGCCAAUACUCCUCAGUCUGGUCCAUCAAGAUAACAUCACACAGGAUGCAGAUUUCAUGCAGAUGUUGAUGGAAGUGGGUACCAGUCUGUAUCAGGAUGUGGCUGUGAUGACUGUGGAUGUGGAUCUGUACCCAGACUGGGUGUCACGGUUCGUACCGGCAGGGUAUCACAGGAAAGCAGCAGUGGAGUCAGAUGUGCCUCGUCUGUUUCACUACCCACGCGUCUGUUUGGUCCUCCCCCGCGACCACCAUCAUGCAGCCUUCUACCCUCCUGUCGAUGCCGCCGACGAUGUGGUCAGCACCCACACACACUUCACCUACACAACUGAUGGAUUGUUGGGAUUUGCCCGAAACUUCUUGCAAGAUCCGGCAUCCCACCUUAUACAAACAGAACACUUUUAAUGUUGUAACAAUUCAAGGUCAGACAGAAACUGUUAUUUGGUACUACCUUCCACAGAGUGUUGACAGUUCUUCUUGGGACAAGCAAGUGUUUGGGGAUCUCGUAAAGAAAUGGACACGCAACACAUAUUACUCUGAACUAUGGCGGUACAGACGUCAACAGGGGCGAUAAUACAGGUAACAGACUGCAG